UACGUAGGUGGCGAGCGUUGUCCGGAUUUAUUGGGCGUAAAGCGCGCGCAGGCGGUGCGGUAAGUCCGUCGUGAAAUCUCCCGGCUCAACUGGGAGGGUGCGGUGGAGACUGCCGGACUGGAGGCACUCAGAGGCCGGUGGAAUUCCCGGUGUAGUGGUGGAAUGCGUAGAGAUCCGGAAGAACACCGGUGGCGAAGGCGGCCUGCUGGGCAGUGGCUGACGCUGAGGCGCGACAGCGUGGGGAGCAAACAGG
rnacentral:rRNA from 1 species